GAACCAAUGGGCUCUCCUCUUAAAAAAAAGGAAAAAAGAAAAGGAAACGAAAAGGCACUCCCCGCAAAAACUUCCCUCGCGUUCGAUUUGGUGUGACGGCGGCGGCGGCGGCGGCAUCUCGCCGUGCUAGAUGGAGAAGGACAAGGUGCAGGAGGAGGCGGGGAUCGAGACGAGGGAGGAGGACGACGACGAGUCCGGGACGAAGAGAGAGCGCGAAUCAGGGGAGAUCGAAGGAGGCGGAGGAGAGCCGAGCCGGAAGAAGCGAGACCCCGAGGCGGUGUCGCGCUUCAAGCAGCGGUCGGCGGCGUGGUUCGCCAAGCUCAAGGAGGAGUUCGAGAGGAAGGUCGCGGAGCAUCCCGACGUCGACUGGUCCGACUCGCUGGCCAUCGACGCGAGCUCGUAUCGCAAGGAUUGGGACUACGUCUGGAGCCAAGCCUACGGCUCCUUCGACAAAAUCACGCCUAUCCCACCGAUGCGCUAUACUACGGCUGAUCCUGGGCCGGAUUACGCAUCCGAACAUGAUGCAGUGCAGAUCUUUUGUGUAAAAAUCAGAGAAUUAAGACGGGGCUUACAGUGGCCGAUCCAUGUGUUUGGUCUCGUUGCUGCACGGGACGUAAUUGACCACAACCGCAAUAUUAUCUUCAACCGCACGAGGGAUGACUGCCAACUCCUCACCCAAGAGGUUCCAUAUUUACUGUUGACAGGUCCUACCCGGGCGGUUGUGGUGGUUGAUCCUGUGGACUUUGAGGUUGCGCUGAAAGUGAAGGGUUCGAUCGAAUCCGAGGAUAAAGAUUUAAGCUUUCUUGCCGUGCAGCUCACUCGUAUCUCUAACAUUAGUGGAACACACUUGAUUAACAAAGAGUACACAAGCAAGCUUAGCACACUGGAGCUGACAUUUGGCUACAUUGUACGCUCCGUGGAGGCGACGAUCAACGUGCGAGUCAUUGACGGGUCAUGGCCAGAAGAAGGUUUUUCAGCUCGGAUUACUGCACAUACCUCCAGCCUGAAGGAUUAUAGAGUCUUACUGCUUGAUUCUGGAGAUGAGAUGAAGAAGAUGUCUGUCACUGCCGAUGGCAUGAUAGAGCUGUCAAGGCGUGUUGUUUCUGUUGAAUUUGAGGGGGAAUUGGAGGUUUCUGUUGCGGCAUUUGGAUCUAAUUGUAAUUAUAUGGAAGCUGAGGAAAAGUUCACACCUAGGACGAUGGUGAAAGCAAGGCCGAGCUUGAUGUUGGCUUUCGUAAACUGGAAGUCACUGUCUUCUGGUCACUCAUGUCCUUGAAUCCUGAUUUGAGCAUGUGAUGUAUUUUGCGACCUCACUACUGUAUAUAUUCUGCUUAGUAAGUUUAUUGACGAGGGUAAUUAAUUUGGUGGUUGCUUCUGAAUUAA